rnacentral:rRNA from 1 species
GAUGAACGCUAGCGGCAGGCCUAAUACAUGCAAGUCGAACGGAUAUAUGUUUUUCGGAAUAUAUAUUAGUGGCGCACGGGUGAGUAACACGUACAUAACUUGCCCUCAAGCGGGGGAUAGCCUUGGGAAACUGAGAGUAAUACCCCAUAGAAUUAUUGGACGGCAUCGUUUGAUAAUUAAAACUACGGUGUUUGGGGAUAGAUGUGCGUCUGAUUAGCUAGUUGGUGAGGUAACUGCUCACCAAGGCGACGAUCAGUAGGGGGCGUGAGAGCGUGGCCCCCCCACACGGGUACUGAGACACGGACCCGACUCCUACGGGAGGCAGCAGUAAGGAAUAUUGGUCAAUGGAGGGAACUCUGAACCAGCCAUGCCGCGUGAAGGAUGACGGCCCUCUGGGUUGUAAACUUCUUUUGGAUGGGGCGAAAAAACGGGAUUUAUCCUGGGCUGACGGUACCAUCAGAAUAAGCACCGGCUAACUCCGUG